GUGUAUACCGUACCCUGUUGCUUCGGCGGGCCCGCCUCACGGCCGCCGGGGGACCUCGCGUCCCCGGGCCCGCGCCCGCCGAAGACCCCAACACGAACACUGUCUGAAAAGUGCAGUCUGAGUCGAUUGUUACCAAUCAGUCAAAACUUUCAACAAUGGAUCUCUUGGUUCCGGCAUCGAUGAAGAACGCAGCGAAAUGCGAUAACUAAUGUGAAUUGCAGAAUUCAGUGAAUCAUCGAGUCUUUGAACGCACAUUGCGCCCCCUGGUAUUCCGGGGGGCAUGCCUGUCCGAGCGUCAUUGCUGCCCUCAAGCACGGCUUGUGUGUUGGGCCCCGUCCCCGGUCCCCCCGGGGACGGGCCCGAAAGGCAGCGGCGGCACCGCGUCCGGUCCUCGAGCGUAUGGGGCUUUGUCACCCGCUCUGCAGGCCCGGCCGGCGCCAGCCGACCAACCCAACCAUUUUUUACAGGUUGACCUCGGAUCAGGUAGGGAUACCCGCUGAACUUAAGCAUAUA
rnacentral:sRNA from 1 species